UUACUGUUGCUCAUCCAAAAAAAGGUAGCUUGCUAGCUUAACCGCCUUGUUUACAAUUAAUCAAUCGCUGUAACGAGUUUGCGACGUGUCUUUGGAAACGUACAGAGUUCUUCAUCCCAUUUCAGGGAAAAGAACACGAGCAACGAUUCACAAAUGAGGACAGCAAUAAAUCAGAAAUUAAUUGAAAUGGGGGAACGGGAUCGAUGUUAUCAGAGAAGGGCUUGGAACACAUAACAGUGGAGGACCUGGUAGCAGAAAUCACACCAAAAGGAAGAGAUUACUGUGUGAGUGACCAUGCAUUGAAGGUGAAAAUCAUCACUCCUCAAUCAGUCAACAGUCAAUCAUCAAUCAGAAGACACUUCCUCUUGUUUCCUACCCAAUCACAGUUCCUUUCCCUUGGUUUAAAAAUUCUGUCAGUUUGCUCUAGAGCUCAAUCUUUCUGUAAAUGCCAUGUCUGUAGGUCUCUGUUUCACUCGCUCUUUGUUUAUUAACCUCUCUUUUGUUUGAGCACCUCCAUAGCACUUUGUCAUCACCUGUGAGUAUUGUUUUUGUUAUGGUGUUUGUUUGAUUGCUGGUGGGAAAAGGGGAAACCAAGACAAGUCGCCCAUGGGCAUAUACUACCCGUAGGUACUUUGUUAAAUACACUAGUUAGAACUGGGAGGACCACCCACUGUAUUUUUGGUUAGUUAGCUGUUGUUAAAGUAGGCUAGUCUAGCUUAGUUUUUUUUUAAUACUUAUUGUUUCUUUCCUUGGGUCCAGCUCAGCCCCUUUUCCUGCUCCCCCCCAUUACCGUGUGUUUCAAAUAAACCUUGCGUUUGACGGUA